rnacentral:rRNA from 1 species
AGAACGAACGCUGGCGGCAUGCCUAACACAUGCAAGUCGAACGAGACCUUCGGGUCUAGUGGCGCACGGGUGCGUAACGCGUGGGAAUCUGCCCUUGGGUUCGGGAUAACAGUUGGAAACGACUGCUAAUACCGGAUGAUGUCUUCGGACCAAAGAUUUAUCGCCCAAGGAUGAGCCCGCGUAGGAUUAGCUUGUUGGUGAGGUAAGAGCUCACCAAGGCGACGAUCCUUAGCUGGUCUGAGAGGAUGAUCAGCCACACUGGGACUGAGACACGGCCCAGACUCCUACGGGAGGCAGCAGUGGGGAAUAUUGGACAAUGGGCGAAAGCCUGAUCCAGCAAUGCCGCGUGAGUGAUGAAGGCCUUAGGGUGUAAAGCUCUUUUACCCGGGAUGAUAAUGACAGUACCGGAGAAUAAGCCCGCUAACUCCGUGCCAGCAGCCGC